AAUUAUAUAAAACCAAAAAUGUUAUGUGGUAUGUAUAAUGUUACUAUAUAUAAAAUAUAAAUGUAUUAGAGAAUGAUAUAAUUUGCAAAACUUUUAUCUAUAAAAAAAUAAUUCUUAAAUUUUAAAAAUUACUACUUUAAAAAGAAAAUCACAGGACGGGUAAAGAAAUUAUAGAACGGGUUUUAUUUUGGAAUUGAGUUAUAUGGUGGAUGUAUUUGAAUCAAUAUUUAUAAAAUUUUAAAAUAUUAUUAAUAUACUGUUUUAAUAGGGGUUACAACUUCAGUUUUUUAACAAUUGUCUCAUAGAUUCGUGGUAUAGUCUUACUUAAUAACAAUUAUAAACUGUAAAAUAUAAAUAUUUUAUAAAAAUAAAAUUUGCAAAUUUUAAUAUAUAUUACUUUUAAAAAAUAAAUCGUCCCGCGAUAUACUGCGGGUUAAAAUCUAGUUUGGAUUAUAUAAGACUCAAGUAUAUUUGAAGAUGGACCUCAUCUUAGGUAUUUUUCACACUUAGAAAACUAUUAGCUAACUCAUUGUACUUAUUAUAUACUCAUAUU
rnacentral:sRNA from 1 species